UAGGGAAUCUUCCACAAUGGNGAAGCCUGAUGGAGCAACGCCGCGUGUGUGAUGAAGGGUUUCGGCUCGUAAAACACUGUUGUAAGAGAAGAAUGACAUUGAGAGUAACUGUUCAACGUGUGACGGUAUCUUACCAGAAAGGAACGGCUAAAUACGUGCCAG
rnacentral:rRNA from 1 species